rnacentral:rRNA from 1 species
UACGUAUGGAGCAAGCGUUAUCCGGAUUUACUGGGUGUAAAGGGAGCGUAGACGGUUCGGCAAGUCUGAUGUGAAAGGUGAGGGCUCAACCCUUAAACUGCAUUGGAAACUGUCGGACUGGAGUGUCGGAGAGGUAAGUGGAAUUCCUAGUGUAGCGGUGAAAUGCGUAGAUAUUAGGAGGAACACCAGCGGCGAAGGCGGCUUACUGGACGAUAACUGACGUUGAGGCUCGAAAGCGUGGGGAG